rnacentral:rRNA from 1 species
GACGAACGCUGACGGCGUGCUUAACACAUGCAAGUCGAAGGGAGUGGCGAACGGGUGAGUAACACGUGAGUAACCUGCCCUUUUCGUUGGGAUAAGCCUGGGAAACUGGGUCUACUACGGGAUGGCUUGGGAUGGGCUCGCGGCUGAUCAGCUUGUUUGUGGGGUGAGGGCUUACCAAGGCUUUGCCGGGUAGCCGGCCUGGGGGGGUGUUCGGUCACAGUGGCACUGAGAUACGGCCCAGACUCCGACGGGAGGCAGGAGUGGGGGUUACUGCACAAUGGACGUAAGUGUGAUGCCGCGGCUUCGUGUGGGGGAUGAAAGCCUUCGGGUUGUAAUGCCGUUUCGCCCGCGGGAUGGUGGUGGGGAAAGAAUCGCCGGCUAACUACGUGCCAGCAGCCGCGGUAAUUC